AGCAGCCGCGGUAAUUCCAGCUCCAAUAGCGUAUAUUAAAGUUGUUGCAGUUAAAAAGCUCGUAGUUGAAUUUCGGGAUCAGACUGUCGGUCGUGCCUCGGUACGCACUGGCAUUAUUGGUUCCUACCUUCUGAAGAACCGCGAUGUCAUUAAUUUGGUGUCGUGGGGAAUCAGGACUGUUACUUUGAAAAAAUUAGAGUGUUUAAAGCAGGCUUACGCUUGAAUACAUUAGCAUGGAAUAAUGAAAUAGGACGUUUGAUUCUAUUUUGUUGGUUUCUAGGAUCGACGUAAUGAUUAAUAGGGAUAGUUGGGGGCAUUAGUAUUCAAUUGUCAGAGGUGAAAUUCUUGGAUUUAUUGAAGACUAACUACUGCGAAAGCAUUUGCCAAGGAUGUUUUCAUUAAUCAAGAACGAAAGUUAGGGGAUCGAAGACGAUCAGAUACCGUCGUAGUCUUAACCAUAAACUAUGCCGACUANGGAUCGGAUGAUGUUAAUUUUAUAAUGACUCA
rnacentral:rRNA from 1 species